CGGUAAAGAACAUAUUAAGGACAGCCAUAAACUUAAAGGCUCAAUGAGAAUCAGCAAAAGGAUAUUUCAUUCUUCCUGAAGAUAUUUUAUAUGGUAACUUUGCAUGGAGACUGAUGCAGAUGUUCUUUCUCACUGUUAUGAUGAACAAAAUCUUGGCUCUUCUGAGAUGUAGGAUGCCUGAACAAUUCUGAGGCCUCAGAAGGAUGACUAGAGAACAUCUUUAUAAUAGAGAGUUGAGUCAUGAAAAUGAUCUACUACAGAAAUCUCUUGAAGUAAUGCCUACUAGCAGGAUAUACCUGAAAGACUACUCAGACCAUAAUCUCAUCACUAUAUAUUAUCCAAAAGCUGUACUAUGAAGAUGAUACCUACAGUGAUGAGUUGGAAUCAUAAUAGAUGGUGCCAUUUCUUCUACCAGGAGCUUCACCAGACCAAUCUUCAUUAUACAUGCUGAUAUCUCUUUCCUGUGUAGUAGCAGACACCACCAGCAGAUAAGAAAUGCUUACGUGAGAAAUGCUCAUUUUGGGAUAUCAUCGAUGAAACUAUAAUUUGGGCAGGGUGACUGUUUCCUUUGCUGCCACUUGACUCAAUCCCAGGAGCGUAAUAGAUGAAAUAAUACUGUACAAGAACCUCAAAAUGGUGGAAGUAAAUAGUGCUCCUAUGAAUAUAGAUAUUAAUGAUUUUAAA